rnacentral:rRNA from 1 species
AUACUGCUCAGUAACACGUGGACAAUCUAACCUAUGGAAGGGGAUAACCCCCGGGAAACUGGGGAUAAUACCCUAUAGACUAUGGAUGCUGGAAUGCUUUGUAGUCGAAAGGUCCGCCGCCAUAGGAUGGGUCUGCGGCCGAUUAGGUUGUUGUUGGGGUAACGGCCCAACAAGCCUGUAAUCGGUACGGGUUGUGGGAGCAAGAGCCCGGAGAUGGGUUCUGAGACACGAAUCCAGGCCCUACGGGGCGCAGCAGGCGCGAAAACUUUGCAAUGCGGGAAACCGUGACAGGGGAACUCCGAGUGCCCGUAAAAUCGGGCUGUCCAUCAGUUUAAAUAACUGGUGAAGAAAGGGCCGGGCAAGACCGGUGCCAGCCGCCGCGGUAAUACCGGCGGCUCGAGUGGUGGCCACUAUUACUGGGCUUAAAGCGUUCGUAGCUGGUUUGUUAAGUCUCUAGGGAAAUCUUCCGGCUCAACCGGAAGGCGUCUCAGGGAUACUGGCAGACUAGGGACCGGGGGAGGUGAGGGGUACUCCAGGGGUAGGAGUGAAAUCCUGUAAUCCUUGGGGGACCACCUGUGGCGAAGGCGCCUCACCAGAACGGCUCCGACAGUGAGGGACGAAAGCUGGGGGAGCAAACCGGAUUAGAUACCCGGGUAGUCCCAGCUGUAAACGAUGCGCGUUAGGUGUAUCGGUGACCACGAGUUACCGAGGUGCCGAAGAGAAAUCGUGAAACGUCCCCCCUGGGAAGUACGGUCGCAAGGCUGAAACUUAAAGGAAUUGGCGGGGGAGCACCACAACAGGUGGAGCCUGCGGUUUAAUUGGACUCAACGCCGGAAAGGG